rnacentral:piRNA from 1 species
AUUUGCACUUUGGGGCCCUGUUGCUAGC